rnacentral:lncRNA from 1 species
UUCAUUAUACUUUCUGAAAUUUCCAGAUUGAGUAGGGGAAAGAAAAGAUGUUGAAUCUCCUGGAUAGACAAGAGCAGCAUGAAUCUCUCUUUGUUUCUCAUCUUAGAUAACAAGGGAAUACGUCUGACCAAUAGAAGGCAAAGGAGAAGAUAAUAGGAUGUUACUUCUGACCCCUAUGAAUGUGUCAUUUAGUCCCAAUAAACAACUGCAAUAACCUCUCAUCUUGGUUUGCCUUUACAUUUUAAGAUUUAGCUCCACACUCACAAUAAAAAAUACAAGUAGAAAAGGUGUUCAAUGCAUCACGUUCAUCCCAUAGGCUCUUUAUCUUAGUGAAAUAGGUAGAGAUACUUGUAUUACCUUGAAUAACAAAACUGAGUUCCUUUUGUAGUUCAAAUAAUUUACUUCAUUUGUUUACCAAAACCUAUAUUCUAGGUCACUGCAGAGAUCUUUGGCACUUUGUGAAUACAGAACACUUUCAGCUAUCUCCUUGGACAAGGAAUUCAGCAGCCAUGAGAGGAGCAUAUCAUUACACCUAACCCAUAUCCUUUGGAGACCAGAAUCAACAGGUGGAAUAGUCAGGGUUCCAUCAAUGAACCCCAACUUAUUCUUUGCAAAUAAGCAAUGACUACUACCCUUCUCCGUCAUUCAUAGCUUUUGCCAUCAAAGACUGAAAUAACCAAAUUCAUACUUGGAUAGCCUGAAGGAUGAAGGUAGUAGGGAUGUGAAGAGUCCACUACACCUGAUAUAGAAGAAACUCCAGGUGCAGCAGUAGUGGUAGAAGAAGAUGAAAUAACAGUAUCAAUAGGUGUUCUAUUGUUACUCGUUGAAGAUCUGAUGAAAAAUUAGAAGAAUAAAGGAAAAUAAAGAUGACUUGAGAAUGUAGGUAAUAACGAGCAGCUCAAACCUGCUCUGAUACCAUGAAAGAAUUGAAGAAACUUUGUGAAAAUUUUAUCUGUAUAUUGAAUGUGUAGUAACAUUUUGUAUAGUCCUCAUAUUUAUACAAGAGAAAGAUU